AGGGCUAAUGCCUGUAGCCUUCUGGUGUGGUGUUGCUCUGUAUGGGUGGAUGCUUAAAGCUGUAUGAAAUUACAUGGUGAUGCUCGAUGUGUUGUAGCUGUCUCAACUGUGACAUAUGCUGUGAUAAUAUGAGACAAAAAUGCAGUUGCACACUGAAUACCUCCCAACACAGACUGAAGUUCAGCAUGUCUGCAUUUCCCAGCUGAUAACUGAAUUCCAUGCUGGUGUACUGAACGGCUUCAUUGUGUUCCAAUGCUUAGAAGGCCAGUGUUCAUAAUCUCUACUGCUGUGCACUCCUCUGAAUGUUGGAAGACUUGUGACAUUUUUCACCCAAGGAAGCUCCCAUCCCUAUGAAAUGUGCAUUCAUGUUUUUGCUAAUCACAAUAAGUAAAUAAAAGCAGGGGAAAGCAAACCCAAAACUUAAAAAAAGAAAAAGACAGGCAAAUAAAAGAUUAUACUUUCUGGAAAGUCAGAUUUCCAUUUUCCUGACUGAGUCUGUACUUAGGUGAAUAGUAGUAUUAUAUAUCCUGUUAUACUCUAUUAUGUACAUACAUACACUGUGUAUCUUAAAUAUAGAGCGUAUAAAUUAUUGUUGUAGGCAGCUGUAUAUCCAUAAUUAACAGACACAUUUUGAUAUUUGCCUCUAAUAAUCACCCAGUAGAUACCCAUCAUAUUGUGCUAAGGACCACCAGGCCUAAAUUUAUUGUAUUUCUUGUAGAAAAACAUGUAGUAAGUAAUAUCAAAAUCUGUAAGCAGCAAAAAACCCUCAAAUCUGGUGUCACAAUAAAAUGAGGAAAAAAAAUUAGUUGCAGUCCUUAAUUUUUACAAUUUCAACUGAUUUCAGUAAGGACCAUGAACUACAGUACAGAAAAACACUCCAGCCUAUUUCCUGAGAUAACAGUAAUGUAAACAGACACAUAUAUACAGCCUUGGGAAAAAAAGUAAAUGCCAAUUUCCCACUGAAUGCCUGGCAAGAACUGCCAGCAGCACUGUCACUAAGCCUUUCAAAAUGUACAGCUAUCAAAACAUGUCCAAACCAUCCCCAAAAUACUGUAACCUUAAGAAUUUUCAGUGAUGGAUUGCAAAUCUAGAAUUAGGUUCUCAGUCUCCAUUGGUUAACAGUAGAAGUUAAAAAAUGAACUAAAUUGGGCUGUUGGAUUAAAAAAACAUACUUAGGCCUCAAUUUUGAAAUGUAUAUGUUUAUACACAUUGAUGUUUCCAUAUAACCAAAAAUAGGACUGUGUACUUUCAUCUUUUUCAACAGCUACCUUAAAGUGAGAUACUAUAUGAUGCUAGAAAUAUUCUAAUUUUUGCUCAAAGACAAUCUGUUUUCCCAGUAGUAGCAGGCAUCUCAUUUCUAGGGAAAGAUUAUUUUUCAGACCAUCUUGUCCAAUCCCCUUUUUUCAUGAGGCAGAAUAAAGACAUAUUCAUUACUUUCAAGACUUUGUGGUUCACUCUUGAAAUUUUUAGAAGAGUUGAAUUUUUAAGAUUGUCUGAAUUUGGAUAUUGCUGCUAUAUGGAUUAAGCAAACCUGU